GCUAAACGCGAAGAACCUUACCAAGGCUUGACAUGGAUUUCUAAGCACGUGAAAGCGUGUGACCCUUCGGGGGACUUCCACAGGUGCUGCAUGGCCGUCGUCAGCUCGUGUCGUGAGAUGUUGGGUUAAGUCCCGCGACGAGCGCAACCCCUGUGAACUGUUGCCAGCACGUUAUGGUGGGGACUCUGUUCAGACUGCCCAGAUCAACUGGGAGGAAGGUGGGGACGACGUCAGGUCAGUAUGGCCCUUACGCCUUGGGCUGCACACGUACUACAAUGCCCAGCACAAUGAGAACCGAGACCGCGAGGUGGAGGAAAUCUACAAAACUGGGCCCAGUUCGGAUUGGAGGCUGCAACUCGCCUCCAUGAAGCCGGAAUCGCUAGUAAUGCUGCAUCAGCUACGGCAGCGUGAAUACGUUCCCGGGUCUUGUACACACCG
rnacentral:rRNA from 1 species